rnacentral:rRNA from 1 species
AGUGAACGCUGGCGGUAGGCCUAACACAUGCAAGUCGAACGGCAGCACAGUAAGAGCUUGCUCUUACGGGUGGCGAGUGGCGGACGGGUGAGGAAUACAUCGGAAUCUACUUUUUCGUGGGGGAUAACGUAGGGAAACUUACGCUAAUACCGCAUACGACCUACGGGUGAAAGCAGGGGAUCUUCGGACCUUGCGCGAUUGAAUGAGCCGAUGUCGGAUUAGCUAGUUGGCGGGGUAAAGGCCCACCAAGGCGACGAUCCGUAGCUGGUCUGAGAGGAUGAGUAGCCACACUGGAACUGAGACACGGUCCAGACUCCUACGGGAGGCAGCAGUGGGGAAUAUUGGACAAUGGGCGCAAGCCUGAUCCAGCCAUACCGCGUGGGUGAAGAAGGCCUUCGGGUUGUAAAGCCCUUUUGUUGGGAAAGAAAAGCAGCAGGUUAAUACCCCGCUGUUCUGACGGUACCCAAAGGAUAAGCACCGGCUAACUUCGUG